rnacentral:rRNA from 1 species
GAUGAACGCUAGCGGCAGGCUUAAUACAUGCAAGUCGUGGGGCAGCAUGAGUGUAGCAAUACAUUUGAUGGCGACCGGCAAACGGGUGCGGAACACGUACACAACCUUCCUAUAAGUGGGGAAUAGCCCAGAGAAAUUUGGAUUAAUACCCCGUAACAUAACGAUGUGGCAUCACAUUGUUAUUAUAGCUUCGGCGCUUAUUGAUGGGUGUGCGGCUGAUUAGAUAGUUGGCGGGGUAACGGCCCACCAAGUCUACGAUCAGUAGCUGAUGUGAGAGCAUGAUCAGCCACACGGGCACUGAGACACGGGCCCGACUCCUACGGGAGGCAGCAGUAAGGAAUAUUGGUCAAUGGACGCAAGUCUGAACUAGCCAUGCCGCGUGAAGGAUUAAGGUCCUCUGGAUUGUAAACUUCUUUUAUCUGGGACGAAAAAAGGCUUUUCUAAGUCACUUGACGGUACCAGAUGAAUAAGCACCGGCUAACUCCGUGCCAGCCGCCGCAGUAAAAC